GUAGGUGGCAAGCGUUGUCCGGAAUUAUUGGGCGUAAAGCGCGCGCAGGUGGUUCUUUAAGUCUGAUGUGAAAGCCCCCGGGCUCAACCGGGGAGGGUCAUUGGAAACUGGGGAACUUGAGUGCAGGAGAGGAAAGUGGAAUUCCACGUGUGGCGGUGAAAUGCGUAGAUAUGUGGAGGAACACCAGUGGCGAAGGCGACUUUCUGGCCUGUAACUGACACUGAGGCGCGAAAGCGUGGGGAGCAAACAGGAUUAGAUACCCUGGUAGUCCACGCCGUAAACGAUGAGUGCUAAGUGUUGGGGGGCUUCCGCCCCUCAGUGCUGCAGCUAACGCAUUAAGCACUCCGCCUGGGGAGUACGGUCGCAAGACUG
rnacentral:rRNA from 1 species